UACGUAGGGGGCAAGCGUUGUCCGGAUUUAUUGGGCGUAAAGAGCGUGUAGGCGGCCUUACAGGUCAGCUGUGAAAACUCGAGGCUCAACCUCGAGACGUCGGUUGAAACCGUAUGGCUAGAGUCCGGAAGAGGAGAGUGGAAUUCCCGGUGUAGCGGUGAAAUGCGCAGAUAUCGGGAAGAACACCCGUGGCGAAGGCGGCUCUCUGGGACGGUACUGACGCUGAGACGCGAAAAGCGUGGGGGAGCGAACAGG
rnacentral:rRNA from 1 species